rnacentral:rRNA from 1 species
GAGUAGCGGCGAGCGAAACGGGACUAGCCUAAACUUAAUUAUAAAUUAAGGGUAGUGGGACAAUAUUAACGAAUUUAAUGGAACGAUUAGAGGAAUAAGUUUGGAAUACUUAACCAUAGAAAGUGAUAGUCUUGUACUUGAAAAUCGAACCAAUUCAAUUGUAUCCCAAGUAGCAUGGAGCACGUGAAAUUCCGUGUGAAUCUGCGAGGACCACCUCGUAAGGCUAA